UUAGAAAAAAGGAACAUUUAGAAUGGGCUUAUAGGUUUGGGCAUAUGUUUGCAACAAAUAUGACGCUUUUGCCCUUCGUCUUCAACACCAUCGUCUUCAACACCAUUGUCCAGACAUCGAUUUUGACGAUUCAUAGUGUUAUUAACAACACCAUCGUCUUCAACAAAAUUUUCCAGCCAACAUGUCUAUUCUGAUUAACCCAAUCAAUCAAAAUAAAUGAUUUUUGAUUGAAGAAAUCUAAACCCUAAAGGGAUACUAUCUAGGGAACCCUUGGGUUCUAAUCUUAAACACUCCAAUUCAUUAUUAAUUCUAAACCAAAUUUGAUUUUUAUUGUCAAUAGAGUUCAUCAUCAUCGUCACCAACUAAUAACAGAGGAUUUGGAAAAGUAAUUCUAGAGAUCCAAACUAUCACCUUCGCUUCUCACUAUCGCUCAACUCACCAUCGUCGUUGAAACUCACCAUCGUCGCCAACGCUAAUUGGAGGUCGAGAUCUUGCCGUCUUUUUCAUCACGAGACAUGAUUCAUGAGUCACCGCCGUUGCUUCUUACCGUUGUCAAAAUCGUUGUUGUUGCAGGAGCUCAAUCACCAUUGUAGGUUCAGUGGUAAGGAGCCGGCCCGGGAGAAGCGUUGCCAAAAAAGAAUAAAGACAAAGGUAACAAAUAAACAAAGAAGACACAACAGUGAAUUCAUCUAAUCCAAAGUUGUAUGUGGUUUCCGAAAUGCUUCCUUUGUCUUGUUCCGAAUCUCUCUGUCGAUGAACUUGAAAAUGGUGUUUCACGUUCAUUCAAUAAAAAAUAACAACCAUAGUGUACACAGAGACUGAUAGUGAAAUAAAG
rnacentral:sRNA from 1 species